rnacentral:tRNA from 1 species
UGGCCCGUUGGUGAAGCGGUUUAACACACAUGCCUUUCACGCAUGCAUACACGGGUUCGAAUCCCGUACGGGUCACCAU